AACGAACGCUGGCGGCAUGCCUAACACAUGCAAGUCGAACGAGACCUUCGGGUCUAGUGGCGCACGGGUGCGUAACGCGUGGGAACCUGCCCUUAGGUUCGGAAUAACUCCCCGAAAGGGGUGCUAAUACCGGAUAAUGUCUUCGGACCAAAGAUUUAUCGCCUUUGGAUGGGCCCGCGUUGGAUUAGCUAGUUGGUAGGGUAAAAGCCUACCAAGGCGACGAUCCAUAGCUGGUCUGAGAGGAUGAUCAGCCACACUGGGACUGAGACACGGCCCAGACUCCUACGGGAGGCAGCAGUGGGGAAUAUUGGACAAUGGGUGAAAGCCUGAUCCAGCAAUGCCGCGUGAGUGAUGAAGGCCUUAGGGUUGUAAAGCUCUUUUACCCGGGAUGAUAAUGACAGUACCGGGAGAAUAAGCGCCGGCUAACUCCGUG
rnacentral:rRNA from 1 species